GCGACGCGCCGAUUAGCGGAGCGCGGUUAGGGGCGGGCGCAUGGUGGCUAUUGAUUGGUCCCGCAGGGAGGGGAGAUCCGGUUGUGGUAGUUUGAGCGUUCACCGCUAGAGCGCUACGGUCGUUCUGUCAGUUUGAGCAUAGCGUCGAUAGCGACCGCAACGGUUCGCGUUUGUUGUUGUUGGACCUAACCUCAAUGUGAUGCGGCGGAGGAGGUAGUGCCUAGGAUCUGAGGAUGUCUGCUUACGCCCAGUUCGGCUACGGCUACGGUUCACCGGCGUCCCAGCUGUUAGUCUCGGGUCAGCCGGCGAGCUCCGUCUCUCCGCCAGUGGGGGCGGGUGCCGGAGCCACCGGGGGCGGUAGCGUGUCCACGGGGGCGGUGUCUCCCUCGGGCUCUGCCUCCGGGGGUGGCUCCUGCUGCGAGAAUGGCCGCCCCAUCAUGACGGACCCUGUGUCCGGACAGACGGUCUGUUCCUGCCAGUACGACUCUGCCCGCCUCGCACUCAGUUCCUACCCCAGGGCCGCUGUAUACGGCGCUCCUUACCCCUCCACGGACCAGAACCCGUACCCCAGCAUCGACAGUUCCGCCUUCUACUCACCCCUGAGUAACCCGUACGGUCUGAAGGAAGGCGGUACGACGGAUAUGUCUGCAUGGACCAGUGCUGGACUACAACCCUCCACGGGCUACUACCCAUACGACCCCACGCUAGCGGCCUACGGGUACGGGGCGAGCUACGACCUGGCGGCGCGGCGGAAGAAUGCGACGCGAGAGUCGACGGCGACACUGAAGGCGUGGCUGAACGAGCACAAGAAGAACCCCUACCCGACCAAAGGCGAGAAGAUCAUGUUGGCGAUCAUCACCAAGAUGACGCUGACGCAGGUGUCGACGUGGUUCGCCAACGCGCGACGGAGACUGAAGAAGGAGAACAAGAUGACGUGGGAGCCGAAGAACAAGACGGACGAUGAUGACGACGCCAUCAUCUCAGACUGUGAUGACAAGAGCAAAGAUGACCUGAUGAUGGACGAUGAUAAGAUGAAGGACCAUCGGAUGGGGAAAGACAUGCUACACGUCAAGGCGGAGCACCAUCUCAAGGACCUGGACGACUCUGACGACCUCGACGACGACGAGAGGAAGUCCUACCAUCACGGGGGUCACGGCUAUCACCCGCACCAUCUCAUGAUGAAGGGAGAGAUGCACAAGGACGACUGUGGAGUCCCUCUACCCGCGACCAAGCCGAAGAUCUGGAGUCUAGCGGACACGGCGGCAUGUAAGACUCCGCCUCCACCCUCGUCGCAGCCCUGGUGCGGGGCCGGUGGCUCGGGUAUGGGCCCGAUCAACGGGUUCGCCCUGCCCUCGGCCUCGGCGCCGUACUCCAGGUACAGCGGGUUCUUCAACGGCGGCCCCGUGGGUUCCUCAGGAUUCCCGGAGGUCCAGACGGACACGCCGCCUCAAACGCCGCCCAACAUGAAACUCCCUAACGUCGCCGGGAAUAUUAUCCCUGCUCCAGGAAGUUGUUUUGGGAGCGGAAACCCCGCGCACGCCCAGGGGUACCAGCAGCCCCAGGGGUUCGGGGGGUACCCUGCCCCCAGGCAUCCCCAGGAUAAGGAGAGACACGAGUACCUUCCGCCGCAGCACCAUCCGCCGCCGCAAGCCGCACCCGUCCCACCACCCGAGGAGACCGCCUUCAAACCCUUCUAUAAAAAUUCCGGGAGUAUGAGCGGCGGCGGGUUCGUGUCCCCGGUCUAGGAGCUGCCCCACGGGCCUUCGCCCUUCGCGGUACCUCUGACUUCGCCCGUCCCUCCCCCAGGGGAGAGGACGAUUGCUGGGACGACCCGUAGACAGCAGACCUCACCGUUGACGACAUCGUCUGCAUCGUUUUUGUUCUAGUCUCACGACCACUAUCUCAGCUCGUAUACGAUCACAGUCACUUCUAGAUUCGAACCCGCAACCCUCCACACCACAGCUACAGCCUCAUAUGCACCAGCGAUCUCAGAUAUUCCCCGACGGUUUUGUUCACAAUACAUGUUUUGUAAUGUUGAUGUAUCGUUGACAGUUUGGAAAGACUGUAUUUAGUUCAAAUAUGCUUACGAAAUGUGAUAACCGAAUAUUUGGCAAACGAUUUUCUUAUGUGCAAUAGGUUUGGAACGUCCACAAACUAAGUAUUGUUUAAUGAUCAAAUGUUUGUAAGAUUUGCAUUACUUUUGCAACAAACUGCAGUUCUGGAUUACUACCUUUUGAUGCCUUAGACAAAACUUGCUGUUUUGGAGUAACUAAAACAUAUGUUUAAAUAUUUUGUUUUGGAAAACUAAUUGUGAAACACAAAACAAACACAAUGACUGUAGUUUGUUGUCGAAAGCGAGCAAACUCUCCGAUUCCGUUUCAUGCAGUGAGUUUGGUUGUAUGUUACUCGAUUGUUAUCUUUGUAAAUAUCGUGCAAGGGCAAUGUGCAAAUGUAAAAUGUUUAUUGUACAUAGUUAUCUGCCUAUUUAUUAGAUAAAUUUAGGACAAUUUUUAUCAGAACUAGGCACAUUUCCACCGUAUAUUCUCGACUUUAUAUUUUUUAUAUCACAAUUUCUGUAUGUGUCAGCAAUGUUAUGUCGUUUGUUGUACGCCACUUUUUCACUAAAUACGUUUCAGUGUCAUUCUAUAGCAGGAGAGGGUGUUUUGGAGUGUAUUUUAGAGUUUAUUAUGAGCUUUUCGAGUCCAAAUCCCCUGCCUCGGUUACGAAAAUCCCCUGACAUUUGGCUACUUACCUUAACCCCGACCCGGCGACCCUCCCUUCAACUGUUGAAUUUUUAAACAAUGAAUUAUCGUGGGGUGAAUACGGGGGUUGAAACUAUUAUGGAGUAUUUUGUAUUUAAAUCAAUCUCGGCUAUGUUGAAACACCUGUUUCAUUUUAUGCUUUGUGACGCUUAAUAUUCUAUUGUGUAAAACAAAUUAAUUUUUUUAGUUCAAAAUUCGUACGAUAAAAUUAACACGAAUCAAAUAGUUGGUGGAUUAAAUUAGAUAGAAAUUGUUAGUUUUGUACUCAGAUGCUAUUUGUAAAUGUGCUAAUAAAUAAUAUUGUUUUAUAAUAAAGAGGUCUACGUAGAUAGAUGGGUUCCGACGGUUUACUCAUAAAAUGUUAGUAACGUAAAUUAACACGAAUCGGAAAAAAUCUAAGAAACCUGUGUUACUAUUUUCAAUCAAAUUAAAACUACGUUCUUGUAGAAUCGCACGAUAUAAAAUAACCCAAACUCCAAAGGAGAUGGUUUACCCAAAACCGGUUGAAUCAAUUAAGCCCGGCCAUUCAUUCUUCUCAAAUUAAAUAGACGCCUGUCAAACUUAGACGUCGGCUUUUAUUUAGAGCUUUAUAAUUAGUUCCGACUUGUGAUCGCCGCGAUCGUAAAUCAAAAGGUGUUUGAAAUCGUAAAUGUCGUAGAAUUAAAACGACACGUCGUACAUCAAUUUAUCAGCUGUAGUCGGUAGCCGGGUAGCUAUUAGAUAAUACUGUUGCUUAAGUGGUGUUUAAAACAGUCUAGGCCUGUCUACACCUGAUAGGAGUGAUUUGGUGAACCCAACUACUUUGCAUUGAAUCUUAAACAUUCGUGCGUCAUUUGUAAAAGGUUAUAAAAUUAUCUAGUAUGUUUGUGUGUUAAAAAUAAGGCAUUUUUAUUUACUACCGCCUAUUAUGGGUUAUACCAUCCACUUUUAACAUUAUUUAUGCUGAUGUAGAUAAAAGAUUCUGCGCACAGAGUUAUGUUCAAAAAGUCAUUGGUGAUAUUUAUUUUGCCGUACUCCUGUCAACGCUUUACACAUUUUUAUAGGAACAAAAAAAAGGUGGAAUAUUAAUGUUUGGCUGUAAAUUUACUUAUUUUUACCUAUAAAACAAGAAUCCAUUAUACAAAGGCAUACAAAAUACAGGAUACAGGAUACAUCCAGCUGUACAAUUGUUAAGUUUUCUUGGUGGACGCUUGUGUAGUAUUUUUACCAUACGUCCAUAGCUCAAAAACUAAAAUCUUCACCUCAACAAUGUCCUAAUAUAUUGGUAUACAAAUCCAUUUGUAAUUUCAACAGUGUAAAUGUUUUAGUUAAAAAAAGUCCCAUUUCAGGAUUAUUUGUACACUUUUUUCCUUUGACAAACAGUUUUAAUACACAGAUAUGUAUCUAACACCUACUACAGUUGGUUUCCAUAUUGAUUCCAACACGUAUUGAACAGGAAUAUUAUCACCUAUCAGAUUUUAGUAGAAAACAAACAGCCGAAGGUCAGAUCCAGGAUAGGUUUAUCAGAUUCCGACAUGCCAGAAUCGACGAAACCACCGCGUGACUCUAAAACAUAACAGGAAUUUACUAGGAUUAUUAAGCGCGAUCGAGCAAAAAGGUGAACGUGCCGUCGCUACAUAAUACUUAGCCGUCAUGUACAUGUUUACACAUUGUUUACCUAGCAGAAACAAAGAAUUAAAGCCACCGACACGUCAUAUGAUUAUAGUAGUUGUGGCGGUCGCCGCCGCGCGGUGUAGCGCUAGUGUCGCAUGUUUACAUCGUGUUACAUUUCUUUUAUUGCUUCCGUUACUCGUGUUUACAUGUUAUUGUUGUGAAUAAUAUAUGCGAGUAUACAAAUGUGUCCCCAUUUGUAUUGUCCUAUAAUGGGAUAGGAUGGAUGAAAUGUAUUCUACUUAUCUAAAAAUAGCAAGACAAAUUUAUUUCAAAUUCAACAGGAUAGUAUAUGUCAUAACACAUUUAAAUACACAAGGCUGUGCUGUAAAGAUGCUGAGCUUUAAAAAAGCUUUUCAAAACUAUCGAACUGUUAUUGUAACCGGUUUGUAUAGUUCGUCUUCUGGCUACAAUUUAUUUAGUUGAUCUGCAAUCAGGUUUUUGUUCAGACACAAACAAUACAAAAAGAACGAUACAAAUUCUUUGGUCUCGUAAAAAUACUUGGUAAAUACUUAAUUUCAAGCAGAGCUCAUACAUAUUUUAUAUUUGUUUCUAUUAUCUCCAAGUUAGUGUUGUCAACAUUCAUUUAUCCAUCGAGGCAGUAAUGCUUUCACCUCCAUAAUUAUUGAAUUUUUACGUUUAACUUAACUAAAUGUUAGGCUACCACGUGAGUUUUAAACUACAUCAAUGAAAAAUUUAAUUCCUAGACUAUUUCUGUUUCAAAUUAAAAACAGGACCUGAAAAUACACUCCACCCCUCUAAACUGGUUCAGUGUUUUAAUGUCGGCUUAAUUUAUUGAUUCCUACCUUUUUCAUUACACACUCAAAUUUGAACUUUGUGGUGUAUUGUACAAAUUAAAAUAAGAAAUCGCCGUUUUAAAUAAUAGAUGAUGUAAAUAUUUUAUUGAUUCUCUCAAAGUGAAUGUUAAACAUGUUCUUAAUGUUUGUUUAAAUAUUUUUGUUUUUGUUGAUAAUUUGAGAGGUUUUUGUGUUGUAUAGUUUUAUUCUUCUUCUGUACAUAUAGACCUAAUGACAAUUCUACUGUGUGAAUAUGGUUGAAAUUAUUAUUAUAUUGUCAUUUUGAAAAUAUUAUAAUUAUUAUUGACUUAUGAUAAAUAUUAUUAUAAAU